AUUGAACGCUGACGGCAGGCCUAACACAUGCAAGUCGAGCGGUAGAGAGAAGCUUGCUUCUCUUGAGAGCGGCGGACGGGUGAGUAAAGCCUAGGAAUCUGCCUGGUAGUGGGGGAUAACGUUCGGAAACGGACGCUAAUACCGCAUACGUCCUACGGGAGAAAGCAGGGGAUCUUCGGGCCUUGCGCUAUCAGAUGAGCCUAGGUCGGAUUAGCUAGUUGGUGAGGUAAUGGCUCACCAAGGCGACGAUCCGUAACUGGUCUGAGAGGAUGAUCAGGCACACUGGAACUGAGACACGGUCUAGACUCCUACGGGAGGCAGCAGUGGGGAAUAUUGGACAAUGGGCGAAAGCCUGAUCCAGCCAUGUCGCGUGUGUGAAGAAGGUCUUCGGAUUGUAAAGCACUUUAAGUUGGGAGGAAGGGCAUUAACCUAAUACGUUAGUGUUUUGACGUUACCGACAGAAUAAGCACCGGCUAACUCUGUGCCAGCCGCCGCCGUAA
rnacentral:rRNA from 1 species